CUAGCCAAGAGACAUGCUCCAAACAAGCCAAAGGUCCAAGAGAAAAUUCAACUGCAAAUGGGCAAGAAGUCAGGUGACAGAAAACACUGUAUCAUUGCUAUCAAGAAUCUAAAGAGAGCAGGAGACCGUCCCCCAGCACUGCCUGCUCUUCCGGAGGACCCAAGUCUAGUUCCCAGCACCUACAGGGCUAGUUCCAGGAGAUCCGAUGCCCUCUUCUGGCCUCCAUCGGCACUGCACGAGUGUGGUGCCCUGACAUACAAUUACCUCCUUUUCACCAGGCAAUUCCUUCGCAGGUCAACCUCCCUUUAUUUGAACUGGGCUGGGGCGGCCUCGCUCCGCCCCUCGCCGCUGGCCUUACUUCCUG